GGCGCUAUAGUGUAGUGGUUAUCACUUGGGAUUCUGAUCGUCUGUGUCAGUGUUCCCAAAACCCAGGUUCGAGCCCUGGUAGCGCCU